rnacentral:rRNA from 1 species
GAUGAACGCUGGCGGCGUGCCUAAUACAUGCAAGUCGAGCGAACGGACGAGAAGCUUGCUUCUCUGAUGUUAGCGGCGGACGGGUGAGUAACACGUGGAUAACCUACCUAUAAGACUUGGAUAACUUCGGGAAACCGGAGCUAAUACCGGAUAAUAUUUUGAACCGCAUGGUUCAAAAGUGAAAGACGGUCUUGCUGUCACUUAUAGAUGGAUCCGCGCUGCAUUAGCUAGUUGGUAAGGUAACGGCUUACCAAGGCAACGAUGCAUAGCCGACCUGAGAGGGUGAUCGGCCACACUGGAACUGAGACACGGUCCAGACUCCUACGGGAGGCAGCAGUAGGGAAUCUUCCGCAAUGGGCGAAAGCCUGACGGAGCAACGCCGCGUUAGUGAUGAAGGUCUUCGGAUCGUAAAACUCUGUUAUUAGGGAAGAACAUAUGUGUAAGUAACUGUGCACAUCUUGACGGUACCUAAUCAGAAAGCCACGGCUAACUACGUG